GCCCGUGGCUAUGUCACAGGUAGACACUCUAGUCAUAGGCUAUGUAUUUCUGCGGCCCCGCUGCGCACAAGCCGCGCCGCUGUCGUAGUAGUUUCACAGUAGUUCGUUGCGUCUGCAUUAUCUAAGCACCUGUGUACUACUUGAAUACUUAUUUCGGAACUCUUGUUUCGUGCCUUUGCUUAAGUUCGCGCGCGACUGCAUUCCCUUCUAGCUGCUGGCGUCCGUUCUGUCACGGCUUUGAAGACAACUGCCGUAUGAUCCUACAGUUUGCCAGCGCUCCAGCGACGUUUGUUUCUCGUGCACAUGUGUGAUAAUGCUACGAACCAGCGAUGAGUUGUGAAACUUAUGCUUACAAGGCGUGUUUCUACUUGUGUAGCUAUCGGGAACCUUGGAGUGUGUCGACGCACCUCGCUUCAAGCAUGGCGUCCAAGAAAGCAAGCGAUCGUGCAGUGAAGUGCUGCGUCUGUUGUGUGUGUAUGUGUUGUAAAGAUCACGGCAUCGGUGCGCUUGCGUGAAAGGUUGGAUGCCACGAAACGACAAGUGGACCGAGCUACGACAAAGGUCUGAGUUCAGAGGACGACAGCGAGCUGGCAACAGACGGGAGCCAAAGCCCGCACUUCAUGCCAAGCAUCCCCGCGUGUGAACAAAAUGCUGCCUGUGGAAAGGGAAAACCUUCGAAAAGGGGAAUGUUCCAGUGUCCCCUCUGCCCGCACAUUUCACAUUACCUGAGCGCUCUGAACAUUCACCUGCGUAAACACAGUGGAGAGAAGCCCUUCAAGUGCAGCUUCUGCUCUGCAGCUUUCGCUCAAGCGGGAACCUACAACCGUCAUGUGCGCACGCACACCGGUGAAAAGCCGUUCAAGUGUGACGUCUGCCCCUUUUCGUCGGCGCACAGCCAGGCGUUGAUCUACCAUCGGACGACCCAUGCGCGUUGCAAACCUUUUACGUGCGAGAUUUGCUUUUCUGCGUGCGUGAACAAGGGCAUGUUGUUGAAGCACAUGCGCACCCACAUGGAGAAGAAGACCGAGGAAGGCGACGCCACUCAGCCACGUAGUAGCAGCCUAAAUGACUAAUCAAAAGGAGCACUUUUUUUUCUAUCACACUCAGUGAGACUGCUUGGGCACUUUGCAUGUUUAAGUUAUGUUUCAUUGCGCGAUAGUGCAUUAAUUUGCUUCCUUCUUAUGCUCUUUAUGUACAGCUCUCGAGGUACCUGGCGUGGCAUUCUCGGGCGAUCACUUUCGGAAGUAGUUUCAAUUUCUCGAGACUCUGCACCGGACGCGUCUGCAUAUACGGCCGUCGGCAUUUCUGGCACUAUGCCAAGCCUGCUGUCUUAGCACAGAGUUGCCUUUUCUCACGAAGGUGGAACUAUCUUUGAAAGGGAUUACUCGAUUAUGCACUUCCGGGCAGAAGACUUCAUGGAGGGACGUUUAAGUGAUUUACCAGUGGUAAAGCAGCGAAUGUUGCUGAAGCGAACGGUCCAAUAAAGGGGCUUGUUUUGGUCAAAUGAAAACAAGACCCCUUCUCGAAACGAUGGCUUCGCGACAUACCUUGUUCGAGUACUGCUAAUCACUCAUCUUGCUGUAAACCGCUCUCAUGUCAUGGAGGGACUCAGUGUCAUAAAGUGCACCUGCCAAAGUAGGCGCAUCCAUCACUGACUGCUUUUGGUAACCAUUGUGUCUGCAACGAAUGCCAAAUGCAGCAGAUGGGAUUUCAUAUUUAAAACAGCGCCAAAAAACAUGGACAGGGAGAACACUGGAUGAGCGCUGACUGCCGACAACACUUUUAUUGAAGCCUGCGCAAAUAUAUACAAUUCAGGCCUGUGGCCUGUGUCUGUGGACAGUGGCCUGUGUCCACUAUAUGUAUUGUUACAUUUGUAUUGUUUUAUGUUUUUGACGCGUGCGCAGCAAGAGUUGACAGACGAUGACUCGCCUUCCCUUUCUUCUUUUUCUCUCUUUCUGCCCGUUGCGAAUUGUAUAUAUUUGCGCAGGCUUCAAUAAAGGUGUUGUACAAUUUUGCUUAAAAAGGUUUCACUGUACUUUCUCUUGCAGCCAGAAUUAUAUGGAUUUGCACGUUGUUUUUUAUGUAACGUGCGAGCCGAUAGAAGUAUUGAAAUUCGUAGCUAUAGGGUUCAGCAUUCUUUAGGGGUGUGCGAAUAGUGACAUUUGAGACCGAAUCGAAUAUGAAUUGAGUAGUGCCACACGCAAAUUGAAUUGAAUAUUCAAUAGUUUUCGAAUAGUGAACAGCCAUUAUCACAAUUUAUAUAAAACAAUAUUCACAUCCUAGUAUUCUUAAAGUUAGCAAGUUUCCGUCAUUACAUAGGAGCGUUGUUUAAUAAAAGCUUUGUGUGCACAACACUCUUCCUAGAGUGCGAAUGAUCGCUGUAUAGCCUUAAAAUAUGGCUACCUAAGUGACGUAGCCUGCUCCACUAUGCAAGUUCUCAUGUUUUAUGUCUAUACUAUGCCAGUGGGGGUGAAAUUCUACUUUUGCUCCAAUCUUAUCUUUAAUUGGCCGUUUUGAAAUAUUCGAAAUGUAUUAGAAAAAUAUUCACAUUUACAAAUAGUGACUAUUCGAUCCGAAGACUAAAUCGAAUAGGUCACUAUUCUAUUCGUUAUUCAAAUGUCUCGAACAUUCGCAUACCCCUAGCAUUCUUUAUUAAUAGCCUUACAGGGGAACAAACAUUUGCAAUUAGUAAUCAGCCUCUUGAAGCAACAAAAGAGGCUCAUUAGUCACGAGGGAUCCAGAUCAUGAGUAAAAAACCUGCAGACGAAUAAAUGGAGGUCACACGGCAGGCAAAUUCAGAUUAUGCAUGACAGCUUACUGGUAUCCUUGUGAAAAAGGGCGUAGAAUGAGUGUAUACUAACCGGUACUAAGCUAUGGGACCAACCUGGAGGAUAAAGAAACUUGAGAUUCGAGCAACGACCGCACGAUGAGCUGUAGAAUAAGUUCUCAUGUAUGAGAGGAGAUGGAAAGAUGGCAGCAUGUAUUAGAAAGCUAACAAGGAUGAAAAAGUCCAGUUGUGCAGGUGACAUAGUGGAAAAAAAAAUAUGCAGUCGAAGGAGGCAGAGAACUAUACCGUCGAAUUUUGAUGUAAUGGACACAGAUGUAAUGAUGUAACUAAAAUGUUUCUCAUCGGUAUCAAUGUCUAUCGAAUAAUGCUUGUAGUAAAUAACAAAUUAAUAAAGGUAUUCUUGGUUUGGAUCCAUUCUACUGUAGGAAAGGAGUUAACAAAUUAUAGGGCCCCCUAAAAGAGGUGAGCUCUGUGGUGAUAAAAAAAUUUUAAAAAUGUUAUAAGAGAAAAAAAGCAUUUCCUCUAGAUAAACACCGAAAUAUGUGUGCAAUAUGUUAGAAAAAAUAAAGUUGUACCCUAGCAACGGUAUGGUGAUGAUUUGUUCUGAUCAUGUUUUUGCGCUAUUAUAUAAUGCAGUUCACACUUCAUGUUCAGUCAUUCCUUUUAUUGCGCUACUUUUGAAGUCUGCUUUAUUGUGUAACAAAUAGCUUCUUAAAUUGGUCACACAGUUUUGUGACCAUCCCUGCAUUUUGGCUACUGUUACUCUUGUUGCAUGUUGCUGAUUUUAUUAGAGCUAACGUUCGUUUGUCAUAUACCAAGCUGUGUUAUAUAAUAUACCAAGCUGUAAUUACCGCAAGUUACGUUAUUCAAAUGCAGAUGACAAAUGAUAUAUGUUUAAAAGUGCUCAUACAAAGCACAUUUCUCUAAUACGUUAUGCUAAGCUGUUGUUUCUCAUUCAGAAAUACUGUAAGCUCACACCUAAGUACUUGCGAAUUUAAACUUUAGGUGAUAUUCCUUUGAAAGCUUUAUAUAUGUCGUGAAUUGUUAUCGUUGACAAAUUACAAGGCCGCAACUGCUACCGCAGCAUCUCAACAAGCACCCGUGUAUUUGUUCCCCUUGUCAUUUUGUUGAUGUGAUCAGUAAAAGUGUUUAAUUCUUGCAUGCCUUUGAUCAACCGUGAAAAGAAGUGAAUAUAUAUGAUGUCGUCUUCUAUUGCACAAAUAAAGCGGUGUGCAUAUUGAGAAAAUCGCCAGUGUGUACAGUGUGCAUUGCGUCAUCCAACGCAGUGAUGAUAAAUGUUCACAUGUCUACUGUGCCUAGGAAUAGGCAUUGCUUUUAUGAACGUAUUUCCAUUUCUACUGUUGAGUAAAAUGCAUUGUUUGCAGACAAGUCCCCCUGUCGAAGCGUUAUAGCUCCAGCCACAGACAUCUCUUGUUCAGCUACUGUUAGUUUCUUCAAAUCGUAAUUAAAAUAAGUUCUAAAAGCACAGAGUGAUGGAAAAGUUUCAGGUGUAAAUGUUGUUGGUAUGGUGUGUCAGGUAUAGCUGUUGAGCUAUAGGUUCUGCACCAUUGGCCCCUUAUAAUUGCAUUGGUGAACCCAGCCUCGGAUGAGGGGACACUGACCUGGAAUUUAGUAGCAUGCAUUAAGGGCCAGAAAAAUGGGAGCAAUUCUUUUGCGGUUCCGUUAUUGUAACGUCAAAGAUUGAGCUAGUUGGUUCUGCAUGGUUCAAGGUAUAACAGCGCGACCUCUUGAAUGAGUACAAAACCGAAGGACAUCCGCUGUAUUUCCUGAAAAGCCAUAUAAAGUCAGCGCAAGUCUGUCCCUUGCUUUGUCCUCGUUCAAGAAGUCACAAUAUUAAACCUUGGAUCCAUCUUUGUGUUGCCAUGGUGCAGGGCGCAGCUCUCAUUAUAAAACACUGCUGUUUCAGAAAUGAAUAGUGGACCGAGCCACGACAAAGCACCUGUUCGUUCGAGUUCGGAGGAUGACAGCGAAGCAGGAACAGACAGUAGCCGAAGCAUGCAAUUCAUGCCAAGCGUACUCGUGAGUGAGCAAAAUGUUGCCAACGGAAAGGAGAAACCUUCGAAGAGUGGAGUGUUCCAGUGCCCCUAUUGCCCACACGUCGCACAUUACAUAAGCACUCUGAACAUUCACCUGCGGAAACACAGUGGAGAGAAGCCCUUCAAGUGCAGCAUCUGCUCCGCGGCUUUUACUCAAGUGGGAACUUACAAUCGUCACCUGCGUACGCACACAGGUGAAAAGCCGUUCAAGUGUGACAUCUGCCCAUUCGCGACGUCACAGAGCCAGGCGUUGUUCUAUCAUCACGCGACCCACACGCGCUCCAGACCACUUACGUGCAGGAUUUGCUGCUUCACGUGUGUGAACGAGGGUAUGCUGAUAAGGCACAUGCGUACUCACGCACAGAAGACUCGGAAAGGCAACGCCAGCUAGUCAGCUAGUUGCAGCCUAAAUGAGUAAUCGAAAGAAGCGCUUUCUGCAGCACACUCAAUCAGGCCAUUUAAGGUUAUGUGACGCACGUCGUUGAUCCUCUCGGGCUUUUAAUAUCCCACAAGCGUCGACUGUGCGGCAUGUCAGCACAUGCGCACAAAGCACCAUACAGUGCGAGAAUCGUCUGCUACGCUUUUCCUAGGAAUGCACAUGCCCUGCCUUCGUUUUCUGUGAGGUCCCAUCAGUGACAUGCAUUUAUGGCGAUGCCUUGCGGAUACUGACAAAUUCCCCAUUGUUUAUAUAUUAGUUCCUUAGCAAAUGUGCACAUAUUAAGGAAAAAUGGAAAACGCAUUGCAUAUGAAACAUCUUAGUCACCCACGUGUUCUGCUUUUCGUCAGUUUUUGUAAAAAGGAUGGGGGAAAAGAUACCUGUGGUGUAUCAUCAUCAUCAGCCUAUAUUUAUGUCCACUGCAGGACGAAGGCCUCUCCCUGCGAUCUACAAUUACCCCUGUCUUGCGCUAGCGUAUUCCAACUUGCGCCUGCGAAUUUCCUAACCUCAUCAUCCCACCUGACUUUCUGCCGUCCUCGACUGCGCUUCCCUUCUCUUGGUAUCCAUUCUGUAACCCUAAUGGUCCACCGGUUAUCCAUCCUACGUAUUACAUGGCCUGCCCAGCUCUAUUUCUUCCGCUUAAUGUCAACUAGAAUAACGUGGUGGCGUGGAGUAGAGGUAGAACACCCGACUUCAAAUCUGAAGGUCGUAAGUUCGAAUCCUGCUCCAUUCCACUACAUUUUCAGGCAUGGAGUGGUGCCUGACACCGGCAAAGAAAAAAAAAAACGUACAUAUUGCCGAGAGCUAGUGGGGCUAUACUAGUUCAGGUGCAACCAAACUAGGCAGGCCCACUAAGCUUCAUCAAAGUCACUCCCUCACCAGAACAGGAAUUGGCCUCCCUGGUGCAGUAUUCGGCCACUACCUCCCUCAUGACUCCGAGGGAACAAGAAUUCAGGAUCGCCCGUCAGCCUGUGGUGUAUAGGGUGUGCAUACUUAUGAUGUGAACAGCACAGCAGACAUUUUUUCGCAUGCUUGGAGUGUACUUUGUGCGAUCACACUUACUGUCGAUGUUCUUGCCGUUCCUCGCAUGCUGUUGUAAUGCGCCGACAUGCUUACGGUCUAUGCUCAUGCAAUAUUAGUGAAGAUAUUUUCCUUUAACCUCUCUCCCUGUUCGUGCUCCCUUUAACCCUAUCCCUCCACUGCUGACCUCAGUUCAGUUGUCAGCAGUGACUUCUUUUCCUUCAUAUUCGACAAAUAAAACACAUAGAAGUUGGGCA